rnacentral:rRNA from 1 species
CUGGCGGCGUGCUUAACACAUGCAAGUCGAACGCGAAAGGGACUUCGGUCCUGAGUAAAGUGGCGCACGGGUGAGUAACGCGUAGAUAACCUGUCUUCAUGUCUGGAAUAAUACGCCGAAAGGGGUACUAAUACCGGAUAUUCUUGCUUUUCAUAAGUUAUGCAAGCAAAGGUGGCCUCUGCAUAUGCUACUGCAUGAAGAGGGGUCUGCGUACCAUUAGCUAGUAGGUGGGGUAAUGGCCUACCUAGGCGACGAUGGUUAGCGGGUCUGAGAGGAUGAUCCGCCACACUGGCACUGGAACACGGGCCAGACUCCUACGGGAGGCAGCAGUGAGGAAUAUUGCGCAAUGGGGGAAACCCUGACGCAGCGACGCCGCGUGAGUGAAGGAAGGCCUUCGGGUCGUAAAGCUCUGUCAAGAGGAAAGAAGUGUACAAUGGCUAAUACCUGUUGUAUUUGACGGUACCUCUAAAGGAAGCACCGGCUAACUCCGUGCCAGCCGCAGC